UUCAAUUGUUAUUCCCAAAUCAAUUUUUUUACUGUUAAAAUGCUCAUUUUUUCUUGAGUAUGUUUGACCAAGGUUGUGCCAUGAAUUCUGCAGAAGGGUGGGAGACAAGGCAUCGAAUCAACUAGAAAAAUCAGUUGGUUCAAAACUUGAAGCUACCGUGGCCAGGCAGAUACAAACACAAUUUCAAACCUCUAGCAAACAUGCUCUUCAGGUAUCUGAUCAAGGGAGUGGGCCAAACAAUGGAUGUAAUGAAGAAAAAAAUUACAUAUUGUUAUUGAAUACUUUUAUGAGUCAUACUUUUAGUAUUGAACAUCUAUAUUGAACAUAAUGAACCUCUUUCUUUUUAAUUUUUAUGUAUGAACAAUUAGUUGUAUGAAUGAUAUUAGGUUGAACAAUGUAGUUUAUUUUAUACAAUAUUAUUAAAUUUUAGUUCAUAUUAA